rnacentral:rRNA from 1 species
AUUGAACGCUGGCGGAAUGCUUUACACAUGCAAGUCGAACGGCAGCACGGACUUCGGUCUGGUGGCGAGUGGCGAACGGGUGAGUAAUGUAUCGGAACGUGCCCAGUCGUGGGGGAUAACGUAGUGAAAAUUACGCUAAUACCGCAUACGAUCUAUGGAUGAAAGCGGGGGAUCGCAAGACCUCGCGCGAUUGGAGCGGCCGAUAUCAGAUUAGGUAGUUGGUGGGGUAAAGGCCCACCAAGCCAACGAUCUGUAGCUGGUCUGAGAGGACGACCAGCCACACUGGAACUGAGACACGGUCCAGACUCCUACGGGAGGCAGCAGUGGGGAAUUUUGGACAAUGGGCGAAAGCUUGAUCCAGCCAUUCCGCGUGCAGGAUGAAGGCCCUCGGGUUGUAAACUGCUUUUGUACAGAACGAAAAGGUUUCUACUAAUACUAGGAGCUCAUGACGGUGCUGUAAGAAUAAGCACCGGCUAACUACGUGCCAGCCGCCGCCGUAA